rnacentral:lncRNA from 1 species
AAAUGUUUCUAAUAUAAAUAAGCUCACAAGAUGGGGUUUUACAAACCAACACACGAUGAAAUUGUUUGAUGACAGAUUAAUUUAAACAAAAACUCAAGUCUAAAAUGACUGCUAUGAAGUAUACAAUAGUACGGGUGUAGGCAGCGAAGCAACAUGAGGUGGCCAAGGGGGAGGACGUCCUAGGGCACUCUUGGAGUGUGCUCCACCUAGUUAGGGCAUGCUCCACUUAGGAUAGGAUCCUAAGGGUGAUUAUAAUGCUCAAUGGCGUGAUAAAUGGUGACAUAGACAUAGCACCCAAACACAACGUAACAGUAAUGCCAAC